UACGGAGGAUGCAAGCGUUAUCCGGAUUUAUUGGGUUUAAAGGGUGCGCAGGUUGUUUGAUAAGUCAGUGGUGAAAGUCUGUCGCUUAACGGUAGGAUUGCCAUUGAUACUGUUGGACUUGAAUAUGGAUGAGGUAGGCGGAAUGUGUAGUGUAGCGGUGAAAUGCAUAGAUAUUACACAGAACACCGAUUGCGAAGGCAGCUUACUAAUCCAUCAUUGACGCUGAGGCACGAAAGCGUGGGGAGCAAACA
rnacentral:rRNA from 1 species